UACGUAGGUGGCAAGCGUUGUCCGGAUUUAUGGGUUUAAAGGGUGCGUAGGCGGCCCACUAAGUCAGUGCUGAGAUAUCCCGGCUUAACCGGGAGGGUGGCAUUGAUACUGGUGGGCUUGAGUACAGAUGAAGUAGGCGGAAUUGACGGUGUAGCGGUGAAAUGCAUAGAUAUCGUCAAGAACACCGAUAGCGAAGGCAGCUUACUAAGCUGUAACUGACGCUUAGGCACGAAAAGCGUGGGGAGCAAACAGG
rnacentral:rRNA from 1 species